AUGUCUGCUAAUUUGAGGGUGCCACUGAGAACGCUACUGCCUGGCACGAUGCUUAGCGUCUGUAUGUGAAUUCCUCUUAGUGAAGUAGACCGGCAGUGCCUGAUCCUGGGGAAUCCUUGGGGAUCUUGUGCUGUUCCCUUUCCUAAUAGGUGGGGGUCUUAGGGCCAGGGCCUGCUUAUUGGAGAUGGGGUUUGUGGUUAUUGAUCAUCUUCCUCUUCUCAAAGAAGAGCAUUAUGGAAGAGGACAGGUCUUGGGAAUAAUCUAAACAUGAUCACUCACCUUCUCAGGGAGCGUGUUCCACAUCUGGAUCAGCUUAUUAAGGAUAUUUACUAAUGAAGGCCUAGUGUGGUGACACAGCAGCCAAUUAUUUUUUGUACUGAGUUUCUGCUUGUUUAGUGACAGCAGGACCUUUUAAAACUUCAGGCCUGACAACUUUGUGUUAAAUCUGUUAUUUCAGUUCAGCCUUUAACAGCAUGUCUAAACCCCAACCUGAAUCCCCAAAUAUAAUCACAUUACAGACCAAUUAUUUUGCUCACUGAGUCACUUUGUCAGUUUGGCAGCAUGCCUGGCAGAAAAUUUCGAUUCCUUUCAAUUCUUUGAUUAAAGAAAUUAAUUCAGAGUUUUAUUUUGUUUGGAGAUAUCAAGGUCUGACUCUCCCACUGACUCAUAGUCCCCACUCAUAGUCACUGGUGUGGAGAUACCUCUUUUGUGGUGAGGUAAUGAGCAGUCAUGCUUCUGGGCAAAAUCCUUCUUACUGCCAUGCUGGGGUGCAGAUCCCGGGUCUCCCUGUGUUUGAAGACCUACUCCCACCUUAUCGCUUGUACUGGCCAAAGUUGACUGUAUUUCUCUCUAGCAGCCAUGAAUGGCCAAUGACAGAAGUUGUCAUAAAGAGGGGUUUGAUUCUUAUGAAGGAUGUCUUCCUGAUGGCCUGUU